rnacentral:lncRNA from 1 species
AUGAGGCCUAAGCGUGUCCCCCCGGCACCUGCACCCGCCGCAGGCAGGCAGGCAGCGCGCCGGCGGGGCCCCGCUGCCCCGCUCCCCAGGCCCCGGCGGUCGUCACAGCCCCGGCGCCCCCUCUCCAACUCCCGCUGCCCAGGGGGGUUUAACCGCCAGUGCCCUCCAUUGCCCACCCCGCCGUCGCGCCCCGGGAACGGGCACAGAGCGGAGCCGGCGCCGGGCUCCGCUCCCGGGGACAGCGAACGACCCCUGCCCGCCCGCCCGCCCUCCCUCCCUCCCCGAGCCCCAGGCCCCGAGCCCCGCCGCAGGCCGCCGCUCCCGCGGGCACCACAGGCACUGACCUGCGCUGCUCACACACCAGACGCCCGGACCCCGUCUGUCACGGCUCGGCCCCCGGCGAGCGCGUCCCGUCCGCGGCUCUGCGGAGAGCUCCGGCGGCUCCACACCCCCUCCCCGGGCGGCGGCGGCGGUGGCGGUGGUGUUGGUGUCGGGCAGGGCCGGCGGCGGGCGCUGGGAGACGGCGGGGCUGCUCCUUCUUCCCGGGAGUGUCUACGCCCGCUCUGCUGCCGCUCCCCGACUCGGGCUCGCUCUGCGGCUCGGCCCCCCGCGCCCGCUCACUGUCACUGCUGCUCGCUCUGGGAAAAUGGCGGCGACGACGGCGGCGGCGGCGGCGGCGGCGGCCGCGGCGGCGACGGCGGCGGCGGCGAGCGCACGGGGCCCGCCCGCCCCGCUCCGCAGGGGCAGGGGGAGGGGACCAAGCUGCGGCCGCCAUCUUGUGUGGGGGCCGCCGCCGGGCGCGGCCGCUGCUCUCGCUCCGCCGGGCGGCGGGACGUCACGGAGGGAGCCGCGAGCGGGCCGACGGGCGAUCGACGCUGGGUCCUCCUCACGGCGGCGCCUCCCGCCGCCGCCGCCGCCGCCGCGCCGGCCGUGGGGGUCGCCCGACUGCAGGGCUCGGCCGUGUCCCGCCGUCAGCGCGUCGGCGAGCCGCGGACGCCGCUAGUGGGUGGCGGGGGACGGUGGCGGGCACGGGGAGGGGGCCGGCCCCCGUCCCAUCGCCGCCCCGGCGUCCCCGGCCCUCCCCUCCCCCGCCCGCUCGCCCGAUCGCCUGGGCCUGGCCUGCCGCGCAGGGCGAGCCGGGUCGGGCCGUCACUCGACGCCCACUAG